AGCACCUACGAAGAGACAUGAUCGCAAAGGUGGCAACCAUCCUGAGCCUAGCAGCAAUGGCUGCAGCCGGAGCCAUAGCCCCACACGGAGGUUUUAGUACAACACAUCGGAAGCAAGAUGACUUCGGGCGCUACAGCUUCGGCUACAACGUGGUGAACGGCCUGGGCGCCAGGAACAGCCGCUACGAGACCGGCGCGGCAUAUGGACCCGUAGUGGGCAGCUACAGCCUCGCCGACAUCGAUGGCCGCGCCCGUCGCGUCGACUACGUGGCCGACAAACUCGGCUUCCGCGCCGUGGUGCGCACCAAUGAGCCCGGCACCAAGACGAGCCUGCCCGCCGCCGCGCCCUACGUGUCCGCCAAGGGACCCGUAGUGCCUUCGGCUGGAUUCGGAGGAGGAUACUUCCCGUUCGCUGGUGGCUACGGAGGCUACGGAGGCUUCUACGGCUGAGUCGCUCGCCUGAAUCGCCUGCACACAUUUCAUCUACGCUUGCGCUAGUGCGUAUCCAUAGCUCUGCCGAGUCUGCUCUUUCAAGCUGACUUCUCUCCGUACCUGCUGUGCAUCGUGAUUGUACGUCAUCUUCCGUGGCUCCCGUUGCUGAUCGCUGCUGAGGCUCUUCUUCGUCCCCGUGUUGUCUCUAGUCUUGUUGCUGCUUGUAUUGAUGCUUAGUUUCAGCGUCUCGUUUUCUUUAAUGGUGCCAGUCUCGGCCAUUUUAUUAUGGCAAUGUGUAUUAGUUCCUAAAUAUUAACUGCGCAUAACAUCUCUUGGCGCGACGAAACUUUUAUUGACAGUUCUCCGAAAGCUUGUGUUCCUUUGUUCCUGUGAUUAACGCUAUGUGUAAAUAAAUAUUCCUUGUAUA